rnacentral:tRNA from 1 species
GGACGCUUAGCUCAGCUGGUUAGAGCACCUGACUUUUAAUCAGGGGGUCCUGGGUUCGAGUCCCAGAGCGUUCACCA